ACGUUGCUUCGGCGGGAAUAGACGGCCCUGUAAAACGGGCCGCCCCCGCCAGAGGACCCUUAACUCUGUUUCUUAUAAUGUUUCUUCUGAGUAAAACAAGCAAAUAAAUUAAAACUUUCAACAACGGAUCUCUUGGCUCUGGCAUCGAUGAAGAACGCAGCGAAAUGCGAUAAGUAAUGUGAAUUGCAGAAUUCAGUGAAUCAUCGAAUCUUUGAACGCACAUUGCGCCCGCCAGUAUUCUGGCGGGCAUGCCUGUUCGAGCGUCAUUACAACCCUCAGGCCCCCGGGCCUGGCGUUGGGGAUCGGCGGAGCGCCCCUCGUGGGCGCACGCCGUCCCCCAAAUACAGUGGCGGUCCCGCCGCAGCUUCCAUCGCGUAGUAGCUAACACCUCGCGACUGGAGAGCGGCGCGGCCACGCCGUAAAACACCCCAACUCUUCUGAAGUUGACCUCGAAUCAGGUAGGAAUACCCGCUGAACUUAAGCAUAUC
rnacentral:misc_RNA from 1 species